rnacentral:rRNA from 1 species
GGCGAACGCUGGCGGCGUGCUUAACACAUGCAAGUCGAACGGAAAGGCCCUGCUUUUGUGGGGUGCUCGAGUGGCGAACGGGUGAGUAACACGUGAGUAACCUGCCCUUGACUUUGGGAUAACUUCAGGAAACUGGGGCUAAUACCGGAUAGGAGCUCCUGCUGCAUGGUGGGGGUUGGAAAGUUUCGGCGGUUGGGGAUGGACUCGCGGCUUAUCAGCUUGUUGGUGGGGUAGUGGCUUACCAAGGCUUUGACGGGUAGCCGGCCUGAGAGGGUGACCGGCCACAUUGGGACCGAGAUACGGCCCAGACUCCUACGGGAGGCAGCAGUGGGGAAUAUUGCACAAUGGGCGGAAGCCUGAUGCAGCAACGCCGCGUGCGGGAUGACGGCCUUCGGGUUGUAAACCGCUUUCGCCUGUGACGAAGCGUGAGUGACGGUAAUGGGUAAAGAAGCACCGGCUAACUACGUG